UUACUUUGUGUUCUAUGGUGGUGGGUUACUUUACCUUCUAUGGUGGUGGGUUACUUUACCUUCUAUGGUGGUGGGUUACUUUGUGUUCUAUGGUGGUGGGUUACUUUGUGUUCUAUGGUGGUGGGUUACUUUGUGUUCUAUGGUGGUGGGUUACUUUGUGUUCUAUGGUGGUGGGUUACUUUGUGUUCUAUGGUGGUGGGUUACUUUACCUUCUAUGGUGGUGGGUUACUUUACCUUCUAUGGUGGUGGGUUACUUUGCGUUCUAUGGUGGUGGGUUACUUUACCUUCUAUGGUGGUGGGUUACUUUGCCUUCUAUGGUGGUGGGUUACUUUGUGUUCUAUGGUGGUGGGUUACUUUGUGUUCUAUGGUGGUGGGUUACUUUGCCUUCUAUGGUGGUGGGUUACUUUGCGUUCUAUGGUGGUGGGUUAGAGUACAUUGAAUAAUACAAAAAAAAAAACUGUGAUUAUACUCUAUUGAUAGGUUAGUGGGAUAUUUUUAACCUUUUUUCCGCCAGUCGAGUUGUCUGAAAGUGCAUCGCUAUGCACCAGGUAGUGCCUCCCUUUCUCCACUUCGCUCUCUCUUUUUCCUGUUUUUCAUCAAGUCCACACUUUAAUAUCAUUGACGUCCACCACAUUAGCUCGAUGUUACAUGUAUCGCAGCAAGCUUUUAUUUACUCUGAUGCUAUGAACCUAAUAUUGAUGCCGUGUGUCCAUGUGAUUCUAUCCAUUUCGACUAAUAUGUGUACAGUCUAUAGACUACACUAGCUUCUUGUGUAAAGUAGCAGCUAACAUCCUCCGUUAUGCUUUUUUGUAUAGCUGUUUUACAGCCUGGUGUCUGUGUCAGAAACCUAUACAGUAGGAACCUGUAGAUGUUAUGAAGUCGCACAUCCUGGGGACUUGUGGUUUAUUGUUGCUGUGACCAUUCUUUCACACCCAGAUGACCACAAACUGCUAUCUGAAACGAGAAUAGUCCAAAGUGAAUCAAGGUGGCACUGCCGACUGAAGCAAAGUGGCUCUUCAGUGCUACGUUGGUCUAGCAGCCGUAGGAGAUCGACAAUUUCAAACUAAAGUUGCCUGUUGUCUCAUAGUCUGAGUGUUCUAUGCUUUUGUACGUCCUUUUGCUUUAUUGAAAACCAAGCGUUAGUGUUGUGUUUACAGCAACAUUAUGUGUGAGUGCAGCAGACCAGCCAUGGCCAGACAGCCAAUUGGAUCAUGUCCUACUGUUGUUCCUUGUUUGUAUGGCGAGGUUCGUGUUUUGGUCAAACACAAUUCUCCCAUCUAACACAAAGUGUUGGGUUUUUAUGCAUGCCUUAGGCCUGCCAACCUACAGAGCAUGCUCAGAUAGCCACAGCAAGGGAGCAACAUGCAAGACAUGGCAUAAUCACACAUGAUGUUCCCCAACUGAUGUUAAUAAGUGCUUAUAUCCUCAAUUAUGAACAUAUCUUCCUAUAUCCUUCCUAUUAGGAAUAGAUUACGUAUAUACUGAAGUGCAAUAAUUGAGAGUUGAUUGGUUGCAGUGGAAAAUCACACGGUUCUUUGUUUUCUGUUUCUAGAAUGCUGAAACUUAAAUACAUCCUAUCACAAGAUAAAUACUAUGAUCUAAUUAAAAUACAACCUAUCUCUGGGUUUCAUAUUGUGGAUCCGUUUUUUUUACAUUUUUGUCAUAUAGCAGACACUCGUUUCCUGAGCGACUUACAUGAGCAAUUAAGGUUAAGUGCCUUGCUCCAGGUCACAUCUAUAGAUGUUUUUUUUCUCACCUUGUUGGCUCGGGGAUUCAAACCAGCAAUCUUUUGGUUAUUGGCCCGACGCUCUUAACCACUAGGCUACCUGCCGACCCAGUCGUGGUCAUCUUGGUGUGUGUUGUAUGCAAUUUUUUACUUUGGUGUACACUGGUAUGCCACUAUUUUGCCCGCUCGACCAAUGGAAGAAAAGAAAGCUUUAUUUAUGAAUUCUUGUUUCUAUUUGGAGGUGGAUUACAUGAGUAAGGAAUAUUAGGGCUAUUGAAUUGUCAUCCAAGUAUAAUUUAUUGUACUUAUCACAUCAUCAUUUAUCAUAUUAAGAAUGAACAGAAUGCAUAAGAUUGGUUGGGGGUUACAAUAUUAUCCCUCAAAAGAAGGAGAUGUUGUUUUGUUUGAAACUGUACUAUUGCCGCUUUAGCGUUUAUCGUCUACUAACUCUUAACUCUACUUCUUAAAACUAGGAUACUUCUUAAAACUAGGAUACAUCUCAAAACUAGGAUGCUUCUUAAAACUAGUAUACUUCUUAAAACCAGGGUACUUCAUAAAACUAAGAUGCUCCUUAAAACUAGGAUGCUUCUUAAAACUAGGACAUUUCUUAAAACUAGGGUACUUCUUACAGCUAGGAUAUCUGAAGUUCCGUCCUCAAAGAAGAAGUUAAAACGACGCAUUUGAAGUUCCGUGAGCCGGCUAUAUAUACAAAUACAGAUGGAUUCUGUUACUGCUUUGACAGCUUUUUUAUGUAGCAUUACAUUUCCUGGAUCCAAGCAUGUGGAUCUGCCUCUUCUUCACCCUGCUCUCUCUUACCCUCACUGCUUGCUAAUGACGCCCUAUCCCCCUCAGUGCAGCUCUGUAUAGGAACAGCCCUGUAUACUAAACGCCCGCCUAAAUGACUCUGCAUUGACCUUGACAUUUGAAUGGCUCUUGUCUUGUCAAUAAUGAACCUGAUUGGCAGUGGUGGGUCCGAUCGCACAGAUGUAACCCCCGUUCCAUAAUAACUGGCCUGUGAUGUCAACUCAGUGCUCACGUUAUCUUUUGAGUGUUGGAGUUCUAGUGUCUUCUAAUGUUUGUGGACACGUAAACAAUUUGUCAGAAUAAAGUGAAAUAAAUGUGGAACUUAUGCAACAUUUGCUUGUGUCCUUUGUCUGGAUUUUGUUGUCUGGCAUCGCCAAUCAUCUAAAACUCAUAGAUCCUACCUUAUACAAGGAUGCAAGGACGUGCUGGUUUGAAAUUUGUAGCAACAAAAUAACUCAACUGGACAUCUAAAAUCGUAAGUGUCUCUAAUGUAGUGUUGUUCAGACCUGUUCCUGCGGCCCCUACUAU
rnacentral:lncRNA from 1 species